AUGUAGAAGAAAACUAGUAGAAAAGGA
rnacentral:piRNA from 1 species